rnacentral:antisense_RNA from 1 species
CUUCAGCGAUCCCAGUCGCAGCGGCCGGUCCGCCGGACGGUUCCGGCCGUACGUCGCCAGGAUCGCCUGGGCUUC